UACGUAGGGGGCUAGCGUUGUCCGGAAUCAUUGGGCGUAAAGAGCGCGUAGGCGGCCCGGUAAGUCUGCUGUAAAAGUCAAAGGCUUAACCUUUGAAAGUCAGUGGAUACUGCCGGGCUAGAGUCCGGAAGAGGCGAGUGGAACUCCUGGUGUAGCGGUGGAAUGCGCAGAUAUCAGGAAGAACACCAAUAGCGAAGGCAGCUCGCUGGGACGGUACUGACGCUAAGGCGCGAAAGCGUGGGGAGCGAACAGG
rnacentral:rRNA from 1 species